UUGUCGUCAGCUCGUGUCGUGAGAUGUUGGGUUAAGUCCCGCAACGAGCGCAACCCUUGUCUUUAGUUGCCAGCAUUCAGUUGGGCACUCUAGAGAGACUGCCAGGGAUAACCUGGAGGAAGGUGGGGAUGACGUCAAAUCAUCAUGCCCCUUAUGCUUAGGGCUACACACGUGCUACAAUGGGUGGUACAGAGGGUUGCCAAACCGUGAGGUGGAGCUAAUCCCUUAAAGCCAUUCUCAGUUCGGAUUGUAGGCUGAAACUCGCCUACAUGAAGCUGGAGUUACUAGUAAUCGCAGAUCAGAAUGCUGCGGUGAAUGCGUUCCCGGGUCUUGUACACACCGCCCGUCACACCAUGGGAGUCGGAAACACCCGAAGCCGAUUAUCCAACCGCAAGGAGGAAGUCGUCGAAGGUGGCGUCGAUAACUGGGGUGAAGUCGUAACAAGGUAGCCGUAUCGGAAGGUGCGGCUG
rnacentral:rRNA from 1 species